GUCCAGGGAUGGGAAACGAACCCACAGUGUUCCGCUUACUGGGCAGAUGCCAUGUCCACUAGGUUACCCUGGA
rnacentral:tRNA from 1 species